UACAGAGGGGGCAAGCGUUGUUCGGAAUUACUGGGCGUAAAGGGCGCGUAGGCGGCCUUCUAAGUCGAACGUGAAAUCCCCGGGCUCAACCCGGGAACUGCGUCCGAUACUGGAAGGCUUGAAUCCGGGAGAGGGAUGCGGAAUUCCAGGUGUAGCGGUGAAAUGCGUAGAUAUCUGGAGGAACACCGGUGGCGAAGGCGGCAUCCUGGACCAAUACUGACGCUGAGGAGCGAAAGCCAGGGGAGCAAACGAG
rnacentral:rRNA from 1 species